ACCCUUGAACUGUGUGGCAAAGAACAGGAGUUUAAGAGCAUCCUUUUCUCUCUUCGUGAUUUUCACACUCAUGUUGCCAGCGGACUCUUUUAGCCUUCCAGGCUGCAAACAAAAAAAGAUACCCAUUCAGUACUAGAGAUCUCAUUGUUUGCAUCAGAGUCCCUUGCAACUAUUUAGGCACUCACACAGAGGUCAGACACGGUGGUCAGGACUGGAGCCUUCUGGGGAAGUCCACAAGCUUUCUCAUCUUUGUGGUCCCACCAUACCAGAAAUUUGACUGUCUGUUGUGGAGUAAAUUACCUGACUUGAAACGAGCACAGUGACUCAUCGCCAGAAGAUUUUGUCUGCAAGGGUUUGUGACUUGGCACGUUGCUUCUUUAAAUACUUUUGCAAGCACUUACUUGGCAACUUGGAUUCAGUGUUUUGUAACACAGCUUUGUGUAGCCAGCCUAGUCAUUUUAUGGUUCAGUGUAUUUAGGUCCCAAUUUUCCUAUUUUAAUUAUUUUGUUUUAAGAUCUUACUAUUUAGAAAUGCCUGGGCAGACAUAAAGAGAUGCUUUUUAUUAAGCUGUGCUGUAAUUGAUAGAUUCCCCUAAUACAGCAGUCCAGAGUGCCACAACCCUCAACACUUCUACUUAAUUGCUUAAGUGUCUUCUUCUCUGGAUAAACAAUAGCAUGGAAACAUUAUACAUUUCCUUUCAUUUUUGCAUUCCCAAACCAGAGAGAACAGCUUACAAGAGUGCACAGUGUUCCUCAUGGCUCUCUCACAUGUCUGUUUCUGUAGCUGCAGCUUUCUCAGAUUGCCACCAGCUGAUGCAUACUGUGUGAUUUGAACUUUGCCUUUGAGUUUUGGUCCCGGAUGGCAGUGCAUGUAGAGCACCUACGAGUCUAAGGUGCAAAACUGCCACAGCUGCUUCUAUUCAGAAACAAAGGGCAGAACUUCUAAGGGUACAAGAAGAAAAUGUUACUUUUAGUUCUAAAAGUCUUGCAUGGGAAAUACUUUAAUCUGUUUUCAUAUGUGAACAUCCACAUCGAUCUGUAUAAAAUGUGGAUGAAUAUACAGAUAAGAACCAACCCUGUCUGAUUCCCCUCUGCUGUUGAACUAGUCACUUCAGAGAAUUUACUGCAUACAAUUUGCUGAAAUCACCCGAGAGCUUUUCCAAGUGCCCUUUCCAGACUUGUUAUUUUUCUUUGUCCAGAGGUAAAAAGGUUUUUUGGAAGAAAAAAAAAAGAAUUAACAUGUUAUGUUGGAGCGGGCCAUUUGCCGAGCCUGGCUAGCUUAGGGAAAGUGCACUUUUCACCCUUAACUCUGCCAUAAGGUUCCAAGCAAAAUGAGUCUGCUCGCAUCUCCCUGUCCCUAACGGGUGGGUUUUCAUAUGUCAAAAAGCCACACGCAGAUUAACACAAUUGGAAGGAACUGUUCUGAAGAAGAGGCCCAAGAGGAAGUUGCCAUGGAGAUGAGGAGGCUAAACACUACUGUACUUGUGACCUCCGCCGGGAUGAUUUCUCCACAUGACAGCGGAGGUUGCGGGGGCACACGGGGGAGCUGGUUCUGCCCAUCCCUGCUCUGCAUCCAGCCCUUGGGUCUUAGUCCACAAGCUCAAGCUCUCUGGAUGACUUGCUCAUUAUUAAUUCAAAACAGACAAAAAGCACCUGUAAUAUUGCCUAUCACACUCCGGGUUUUGGAUACUAUGACCCUGGAUGCACCUUUGAGAGCCUGGGCACGAUGACGUUAGAUGGGGCACCAUUGACCAGAAGGGGACUUCCCCGUCUUUCUUGAAAUGAGGAGCUCAGAACCAGACACACUACUCCAUAUUUGGCCUCUCAGAUACAGAGUAGAAGGGAAGGAUCACUUCUUCUUAAUGCAUCCCAGGAUACCAUUGGCCUUCUUGGCCACAAAGGCACACUGCUAAUUCAUGGACAACCUGUUGACCAUCAGGACAUCUACGUCCUCCUCUGCGGAGCUCCUUUCCAGCAGGUAAGAAAAAAAAAAGGAAAAAGCCACCAACAUAUACAUACUGCCUUUACUGGAACUGCUUUCUUCUUCACAUCCUCCCCACUUGAAGCAAAGCCUUCAAACGCAUCAGUUUCAGAAUCAGUGUCUUCAGUGAAAAUCUUCUGCAGCUCUUCGGUAAGGUAUCUGGACUGGUAUCGAAUGCCCUGUAAAAAUAACAGCCAGAAGCUAUAAGAAAGUCAUAUACAAAGUAGUGACACAGUUAGAAUGAACAUGUUCAAAGGCUUAAUCAAGUACUAACUAGAUGAUAUAUACUGUGAAGAUAUGUUGCAGGCAAAGCCUGUCAAAAGAAAAAAAAAGUAGAAAACAUUCAGUUUCAGCUCUGAGUUAUUUUAACUUAUCGAGUUGGUUUUUUUUGGUCGUUUUGAGCACAAGACUAACUGAGCUUGGUCUCACAGCAGAAACUUGAUUACUUUGUCCUCUACUACUACCCAGUAUAAAUAAACUACCAGUUUUCUUGUUUAUAAA